UCUAAUAUGGCAGAAUAGUGCAAUGGAUUUAAGCUUCAUAUAUAAAGAAUAUCUUUUGUUAGAA
rnacentral:tRNA from 1 species